rnacentral:rRNA from 1 species
GACGAACGCUGGCGGCGUGCUUAACACAUGCAAGUCGAACGAUGAAGAAAAGAAUCGAAGCUUCGGCAGAAAUUCAUUUCGGAUUAGUGGCAGACGGGUGAGUAACGCGUGAGCAACCUACCUCUUACAAAGGGAUAGCCUCGGGAAACCGGGAUUAAUACCAUAUAACAUUGUGACGAAGCAUUUCGAUGCAAUCAAAGCUACGGCGGUAAGAGUUGGGCUCGCGUCCCAUUAACCGGAUGGUGAGGUAACGGCUCACCAUAGUGACGAUGGGUAACCGGCCUGAGAGGGUGAACGGUCACACUGGAACUGAGACACGGUCCAGACUCCUACGGGAGGCAGCAGUGGGGAAUAUUGCACAAUGGAGGGAACUCUGAUGCAGCGACGCCGCGUGAGUGAUGAAGGAAUUCGUUUCGUAAAACUCUGUUCUAUGGGAAGAAAAGGACUGUACCAUAGGAGAAAGCUCCGGCUAAAUACGUG